rnacentral:rRNA from 1 species
CCUUUAGGAUGUGAUGGGGAAGCCCUUCGGGGCGAAGUAGCUGAUUUCACACUGUCAAGAAAAGCUUCUAUCGAGUUUAAAGGCGCCCGUACCGUAAACCGACACAGGUGGGUGAGGAGAGUAUCCUAAGGCCAGCGAGAGAACUAUUGUUAAGGAACUCGGCAAAAUGACCCCGUAACUUAGGGAGAAGGGGUGCCUGUCUAUGACAGGCCGCAGAGAAUAGGCCCAAGCACUGUUUACCAAAAACACAGGUUUCUGCUAAGUCGCAAGACGAUGUAUAGGAGCUGACGCCUGCCCGGUGCUGGAAGGUUAAGGGGAUCUGUUAGAGCAAUCGAAGCGGUGAACUUAAGCCCCAGUAAACGGCGGCCGUAACUAUAACGGUCCUAAGGUAGCGAAAUUCCUUGUCGGGUAAGUUCCGACCCGCACGAAAGGCGUAACGAUUUGGGCACUGUCUCAACAAUAGACUCGGUGAAAUUGUAAUCCCGGUGAAGAUGCCGGGUACCUGCGACAGGACGGAAAGACCCCAUGGAGCUUUACUGUAGCUUGACGUUGGGUCUUGGUACUACAUGUACAGGAUAGGUGGGAGACUAUGAAGCAUGGACGCCAGUCUGUGUGGAGUCAUCCUUGGGAUACCACCCUUGUAGUACUGGGAUCCUAACCAUAGGCCUUGAAUCAGGUCUUGGAACACCGUCAGGUGGGCAGUUUGACUGGGGCGGUCGCCUCCUAAAAAGUAACGGAGGCGCUCAAAGGUUUCCUCAGCACGGUCGGAAAUCGUGCGAAGAGUGUAAAGGCAAAAGGAAGCUUGAUUGCAAGACAUACAGGUCGAGCAAGGACGAAAGUCGGACUUAGUGAUCCGGUGGUACCGCAUGGAAGGGCCAUCGCUCAACGGAUAAAAGCUACCCUGGGGAUAACAGGCUUAUCUCCCCCAAGAGUCCACAUCGACGGGGAGGUUUGGCACCUCGAUGUCGGCUCAUCACAUCCUGGGGCUGUAGUAGGUCCCAAGGGUUGGGCUGUUCGCCCAUUAAAGUGGUACGCGAGCUGGGUUCAGAACGUCGUGAGACAGUUCGGUCCCUAUCCGUCGCAGGCGUAGGGAAUUUGAGAAGACCUGUCCUUAGUACGAGAGGACCGGGAUGGACGUACCUCUGGUGUACCAGUUGUUCUGCCAAGGGCAUGGCUGGGUAGCUAUGUACGGAAUGGAUAAGCGCUGAAAGCAUCUAAGCGCGAAGCCAACUUCAAGAUAAGAUUUCCCACCGUAAGGGUAAGACCCCAGGAAGACUACCUGGUUGAUAGGUCGAAGGUGUAAGUGCAGUAAUGUAUUUAGCUUAUCGAUACUAAUAGGUCGAGGACUUGACCU